UCCGUAGGCGGUGCGGCAAGUCGGAAGUGAAAUCUCAGGGCUUAACCCUGAGGCUGCUUCCGAAACUGCCGUGCUGGAGUGCGAGAGAGGCGAGUGGAAUUGCAGGUGUAGCGGUGAAAUGCGUAGAUAUCUGCAGGAACAUCCGAGGCGAAAGCGGCUCGCUGGAUCGCAACUGACGCUGAGGGACGAAAGCUAGGGGAGCAAACAGGAUUAGAUACCCUGGUAGUCCUAGCCCUAAACGAUCAGGACUGGGCGUGGGCCUCGUACGGGGCUCGUGCCGCAGCUAACGCGUUAGGUCCUGCGCCUGGGGAGUACGGUCGCAAGGCUGAA
rnacentral:rRNA from 1 species